UACGUAGGGUGCAAGCGUUGUCCGGAAUUAUUGGGCGUAAAGAGCUCGUAGGCGGUUUGUCGCGUCUGCUGUGAAAACCCGAGGCUCAACCUCGGGCCUGCAGUGGGUACGGGCAGACUAGAGUGCGGUAGGGGAGAUUGGAAUUCCUGGUGUAGCGGUGGAAUGCGCAGAUAUCAGGAGGAACACCGACGGCGAAGGCAGGUCUCUGGGCAUUAACUGACGCUGAGGAGCGAAAGCAUGGGGAGCGAACAGG
rnacentral:rRNA from 1 species